GCCGUCCGGCCCGGUUGCGGGCGACGCUCGCGCCGCGUUCGGCCGCACGGGUGGUGUGGGCGGUGUCGGACCGCUGGACGGCG
rnacentral:tRNA from 1 species